UGCGCUGAGCAUGAGAGUGUGGGGAGGAACGCUAGUACUCAAGGUACAACCAGGAGGACUUAAUCGGGUCUUUCCAGCAGCUAUCAAAAAAAAAAAGAAGAUGUCUCAUCUCUUUCCUGUUUUGAAAAGGAGGAGCAUGAGAGCUCGGUGUGAAACGUUGAGUGGUGUCGGGGGCAAUCACAGCCUCAGUCACCGAGAGAGUUGCCCACACCCAGGACUGUGGCAAUAAACUGCUGACUACAACUAAUAUUAUAUAAAUUCCUCCCCGGGUGCUGUAGACACAUGGAUGGCUUUGCAUAUCUGGAGGACUCAUUGGGCGAUGACAUAUUUCCUCUUUGCGUUGACUCAUGAGCUGCUCCUCCUGGUUGCUAUGAAAGUUGGAAGCACUUUACCGGUGCCUGCUGCAAGUAUGUUUCAUGAAAAGAGAGAAAGUCUCAAUAUUCUUCCUGGAUUUGCUGGUUUGACCCUUUCACUUUUGCAAUCGAUGCUGUCAAGAUUUUCCUUUGUACAUAUCUGAUCGGUUCGUGCCAGGUUUGGCUCCGUGCCUUUUCAGACGAGAGCCCCUGUGAUGAGGACAAGGUGGUCAGGCUCUGGGUGCAGCAACGGAGACAGGAGGAGAUGCUGGGGUGGGGAUGGCUCCUACUCGACUACGGCAUGGGAUCUGUAGCAAAUACCUGGGGAAGACAUUGUUAGAGGUGUAUUUUUUUUUUUUUUCUGGAGAGGUAGGUAUUCCCUGGAUGUGCUGCGGCAGAUCCUCAGCUUCCAGAUAUCAGUAUAAAAGCAUUCAUUUUAGUGGAGCUGCUGUGCCUGCUGAUGGUCAGGUCCUGUGAUGUUGCUCAUUAGAAAGGUUUUGGGUAAGGAGCCAAGAGAUGAAGGGAGGCACGGCUACAUUUUAAAUAAAUAGGUAAUAAGAUUGUAUACCCUCUAUUCU
rnacentral:lncRNA from 1 species